rnacentral:rRNA from 1 species
UACGUAGGGUGCGAGCGUUAAUCGGAAUUACUGGGCGUAAAGCGUGCGCAGGCGGUUUUGUAAGCCAGAUGUGAAAUCCCCGGGCUCAACCUGGGAAUGGCAUUUGGGACUGCAAGGCUCGAGUGCGGCAGAGGAGACUGGAAUUCCUGGUGUAGCAGUGAAAUGCGUAGAUAUCAGGAGGAACACCGAUGGCGAAGGCGGCGACCUGGGACAAUACUGACGCUGAGGUGCGAAAGCGUGGGGAGCAAACAGG